rnacentral:rRNA from 1 species
GUAACGGCGAGUGAAGCGGUAACAGCUCAAAUUUGAAAUCUGGCUCCUCGGGGCCCGAAUUGUAAUUUGUAGAAGAUGCUUUGGGUCUGGGCCUGGCCUAAGUUCCUUGGAACAGGACGUCGUAGAGGGUGAGAAUCCCGUAUGCGGCUGGCGCCCGUGCCCGUGUAAAGCUCUUUCAACGAGUCGAGUUGUUUGGGAAUGCAGCUCUAAAUGGGUGGUAAAUUUCAUCUAAAGCUAAAUAUUGGCCAGAGACCGAUAGCGCACAAGUAGAGUGAUCGAAAGAUGAAAAGCACUUUGGAAAGAGAGUUAAACAGUACGUGAAAUUGUUGAAAGGGAAGCGCUGGCAACCAGACUUGGGCGCUGUUGAUCCGCUAGGGUUCUCUCUAGGGCACUCGGCAGUGCGCAGGCCAGCAUCGGUUUGGGGGGUUGGAGAAUGGCUGGUGGAAUGUGGCUGUCUUUGGGCAGUGUUAUAGCCACCGGUGGCAUGCAGCCUCCCCGGACCGAGGACCGCGCUUCGGCUAGGAUGCUGGCGUAAUGGUUGUCAGCGACCCGUCUUGAAACACGGACCAAGGAGUCUAACAUCUAUGCGAGUGUUUGGGUGUUAAACCCAUACGCGGAAUGAAAGUGAACGUAGGUGAGAACCCGCAAGGGUGCAUCAUCGACCGAUCCUGAUGUCUUCGGAUGGAUUUGAGUAAGAGCAUAGCUGUUGGGACCCGAAAGAUGGUGAACUAUGCCUGAAUAGGGUGAAGCCAGAGGAAACUC